CCCCGGCUAGCCUUGUUGGUAGAGCUCGAGACUCAUAAUCUCAGGGUAGUGGGUUCGUGUCCCAUGUUGGGCG
rfam:Lepisosteus oculatus linkage group LG6, whole genome shotgun sequence.